CCUACGGGCGGCAGCAGUGGGGAAUAUUGGGCAAUGGGCGCAAGCCUGACCCAGCAACGCCGCGUGAAGGAUGAAGGUUUUCGGAUUGUAAACUUCUGUCGCGAGGGACGAAGAAUGACGGUACCUCGUAAGAAAGCCCCGGCUAACUACGUGCCAGCAGCCGCGGUAAUACGUAGGGGGCAAGCGUUGUCCGGAAUGACUGGGCGUAAAGGGAGUGUAGGCGGCUCAUCAAGUUAGAUGUGAAAUCCCGCGGCUUAACCGCGGAACUGCAUCUAAAACUGGUAAGCUGGAGUGCAGGAGAGGUGAGUGGAAUUCCAGGUGUAGGAGUGAAAGCCGUAGAUAUCUGGAGGAACAUCAGUGGCGAAGGCGACUAUCUGGCACAUAACUGACGCUGAGGAGCGAAAGCGUGGGUAGCAAACAGGAUUAGAUACCCCAGUAGUC
rnacentral:rRNA from 1 species